GGUACAUGAAAAGCGCUUUAUAAAUCAAAUAUAUUAUUAUUAUUAUUAUUAUUAUCUAAAAGUGCCAAAAAUAAAAGUGAUUAAACAAAAUAAAAAAGACAUUAAAAAGUAUUAAAUAUUGUGAAAAAAUUAUAUAUCUAUGGUUAGUGUAGGCCUAAAUAUUAGUUUGCAUCCAUACAGCAGCAGCAGAAGAAGACGACGAAGAAGAAGAAGAAGAAGAAGAAGAAGAAGAAGAAGAAGACGAGGACGACGAGGAGGACGACGAAGAAGAAGAAGAUGAAGAUGAUGAUGAUGAUCACCUGUUCUCUCAGCAUGGUGUGUGGCACGAGGUAGUGACGUCACUACAGGACCACCGCGGAUUUAACGGACUGAGGACAUUGGCCGGUGCGCAGAUGUUGACUGUUCUGCCAUCGUUCCAUUACUCCAGCAGUCUGUCUCCUCACUGUGACCUUACAUCAGCUUGUGGAGUCAUUGGACAACGAAGGACAAGAAUGUGGCCACUUGACAAUAAACCUGCUGUCAUCCCCCAUGGAGUACUGGCUUUGAACAAAGAGUGUGAAAACCUCCUGUGUGCUAGAGAGUAGCGGGGCACUGUGCAUCAAAAUAUCAGUGCAGGUUGAAAGGCACAAAAUAAGCCGGCCAUCGAUGGGAAUGUCUGGCUGAAAAUCUUCCGUUGGCUCAUUCCCAGCAUGAUUGGCAGCUGACUGUCUGCACCCAGGAUAAGGCCAUUCAACGCUGCCUUCAAGUGCUGUCGGAAAUACUGCAAUCGCAGUUUUAUGUGCACACAACCAG
rnacentral:lncRNA from 1 species